rnacentral:lncRNA from 1 species
GCGUGUAUCAGACUAUAGCUGUCUUUUGAAUACCACGUCCACGAACAAAGUUUAUGAAAAAGACAUUUAAAAAAUCCGGUUAUGUUCUAUGGAACAGUAUUCCUGUAGAAUAAAAACAAAUAUAGGGAAAACAAUUCAAACAAAUUUUUUAAGGACAAAUAUGUUAAUAAAAUAUAACACUUAAUUUUCAUGUUUUUUACCAUCAUUUAGAAG